UAUAAAUGCUACGCGAAUCAUUGGUAGUCACGAGACCCAAAGGCGCAGUGAAAGUGAUGGCCAGACAUAGUAGAUAUCUUUGUGUGUCUAUUGUGUCCCGGCUGAGGUGAGAUCCUGUUGGUUCUCGUGAAUGGUACUGCCAAGCUGCUGAGCAAUAGGCGCAUCACCUGCCCGUCCCAUGGUGUGACCAUGCUGCCUCGGUAGUGUGCGUCAUCGCAGACGGAGCUAGAGCGUACAUGUUGAGACCCGAAAGAUGGUGAACUAUGCUUGCGCAGCUUGAAGCCAGAGGAAACUCUGGUGGAGGACCGCAGCGAUUCUGACGURCAAAUCGAUCGUCUGACGUGAGUAUAGUGGCG
rnacentral:rRNA from 1 species